GGUAGGUGGGGGUGGGGGAAGAGUUAAUAAAUCAAAAUUGAGCUGAUUUGUUGUUUUUUGACCCGCUAACCCAUCAUUUGAAAUCCCUAGAUUGCUGAGAAUCAAAUUGGAUAAAAAUGGUGAAAUUUGGAAGAAUACUUCUGAAAGAAGGGAUUAACAAGAAGAUCCUCGAAAUUCUUGUCUGUCCACUUUCUAAGCAACCUUUAAGGCUUUGCGAGAAGACGAAUUCUCUAAUCAGUGAUGCAAUUGGUGUUUCAUAUCCGAUAGUGGAUGGGAUUCCUCGUCUUGUACCAACAGAUGGCAAGAUUAUCGAGACUGAUGAUGCAUCACAUUCUCAUUGCCCUGUUGAUUUGCCUGGUAAAUGAACUGAUGGUCAAAGAGGUAGUAUUUAGCACAACUCAUUGACAAACAACGUUUGGAGUUCAUAAGCUGAUGGAAGAUGUUAAAGAGAAUUAUGUCAGAACCUGUCAGGAGUGUUUGAGCGCAGUUGUUGCAGUUGCAUGGUAGCCAAAACAAGUCACUGCCAGUGUCAAGUGCCACCAGAAAUGAUAGCCCAGGUGUGCCCACUGUCACAUUUGCAUAAUGCAAACUGAAACUCACACAAACACAAUUUAGUUAGUCCUGAAGGAAGAACUUACGUGGUUGCAGCACGACUACAGGUAAUGCAAAUUAACAACUAUAUAUAUAGAGUCUGAACCAAAGCUAUUGAGUUCGGAUGAGACUGAAACUAAUAUACUAGAUCCCCUCUUCCCAGGGUCCCCUACGUGUAAGCAGUGGAUGCAUGUCUACCGGUCCCACUGUCUCAGUAUAGAUGCAUCCUCUGAUUAUAAAUCCUGAAUCCACCUCGACUUCUUUCUCUUACAAAACUGACUUCCAUUGCCAAAUUACAUAGACAAGUAAACCUCAGUCAAAUUGAAACAGACAUGUGUCAUACUUGCACAACAGUAAUGCUAAUUUUCUCUGUAUCAUUCCAAUUUUAUUGGAUAUCCCAAAAUGAAAAAAACACAGAUAAUCAUAAGGAGAAGUUCUUUUGACACAGGUGAUUGAAGUAUUAAUAUAGAGAAGCAGAAGGAACCUACAAUCCCAAAGAACUGAGUAGGACUGUUUUGUUUCCUCCUCCGGCGAACGUGAGAGGUAGCGGAGUAGGAUUAAUGGCGCUGGUAAGACGGCGACUGUUGGGAGUAGUAUCAAUGGUGCUGGUAAGCCGGUGCCUGUUGAUAUGGCGAUCACGUUGUGUCCAAGCUGAAUAAUACUGAAUACUACCUUUUUUAGGCAACCAGGGAAGCUCUAAAAUACCUUUUACUGGAUCAGAAUACCUGUGGUGUAUAUCAAACCUGAAUGUCCCAAAUGCUUCACUGCUGUUAUGCAACUGUAAAGCUAAGAAAAUAACAAAUACCAUGAAGUUACUAGUACAACAAAAAUCAUCCAUUGGAAUCAAAUUAACCCAAUGGCUCAGCUCAAUUGUCAAGAUAUUGUCCUUUCUGGUCUAAUCUUUGGAGCUCAGUGCAAACCCAUGUACUGACUUGUCAAUAAACACAACUGUUACCUUCUCAAAAAAAAAAAAUCUUUGCAGCUUCGCGAUUUUGCAUUGUACAGACUUCUCAACAGUUGAAUUCCUGAUGAUUCUGCCUUAUAUAGGAGGCCCUAUAUUGGUCCUCUUUAUUCCAAUAUGAGAUUUUUCUAAGUCAAUCUCCAGAGCUAACAAGUCCUCUUGUCCUACUAUAGGUGUUGUGAUAACCUUUACCAAGUCUGAACAAUUGUCAACUACAAGAUAUAUUGGGUCUCAACCAAAAAGACUGGAAUAUAUUUGUGCAUAGUGUAUUGUACAUAUAUAUAAUGUAUGAGAAACAAAAAGGGAAGAAUUAUGAAUCAAUAAGAUGGUGUUUGACAAAGAUAUGUAUUGAAAUGUGGAGGAUGUGGAAGGUGAGCCCACCAGCUGAAGCUUUUACUACUAGUUGUAGUAGGUUAUUGUCAAAUGGGGAAUAAUGAUGGAAUGAGAGAGACAUAGUGGGUUACAUGUUUUGGUCUCAAGACUUAAUGGGAUCCAGGUUUUUAAUGUUAAUGGUGUAUGUGAAGUGCAAAGAACUUGGAGGGUGCUGGUAGUACCUACCACAAUAACUAGUGAGAUGAGAAUUAUUGGAAGAUUGACUUUGUCAUUCUUAAAGUUUUCUUGGUUCUAUGUCA